rnacentral:lncRNA from 10 species
GCAUUCUAUAGCUGGCAGCCUGCUAUCAAUUACAUUGAUAGUAAAUUUGAGGACUACCUAAAUGCAGAAUCGCAAGUGAACAGAUGUCAGAUGCCUGGUAACAGGGUGCAGUGUUGUUUAUACUUCAUUGCUCCUUCAGGACAUGGAGACAGAUCUCAUUAUGUUGCCCAGGGUGAUCCUUGAUCUCCUGGCCUCAAGUGAUCCUCCAACCUUGGUCUCCCAAAGUGCUGGGAUUACAGAUGUGAACUACCACACCCAGUCAACGUGCAGAAGGUUUUCAGUUUGAUGUAGUCUGAUGUAGUCUCAUGUAUUUAUCCUUGUUGUUGUUGCCUGAGCUUUUGGUGUGAUAUCCAAAAAUAUCAUUGCCAAG